rnacentral:rRNA from 1 species
GAAGGUCCGGGCGUUAUCCGGAUUUAUUGGGUUUAAAGGGAGCGUAGGCGGGCUGUCAAGUCAGCGGUAAAAUCGUGCGGCUCAACCGUACCUCGCCGUUGAAACUGGUGGCCUUGAGUGCACACAGGGAUGCUGGAAUUCGUCGUGUAGCGGUGAAAUGCUUAGAUAUGACGAGGAACUCCGAUCGCGAAGGCAGGUGUCCGGGGUGCCACUGACGCUGAGGCUCGAAGGUGCGGGUAUCAAAC